rnacentral:rRNA from 1 species
GACGAACGCUGGCGGCGUGCCUAAUACAUGCAAGUCGAGCGAAUCAAUAGGAGCUUGCUCCUGUUGAUUAGCGGCGGACGGGUGAGUAACACGUGGGCAACCUGCCUGUAAGACUGGGAUAACACCGGGAAACCGGUGCUAAUACCGGAUAAUCCUUUUCCUCUCAUGAGGGAAAGCUGAAAGUCGGUUUCGGCUGACACUUACAGAUGGGCCCGCGGCGCAUUAGCUAGUUGGGGAGGUAACGGCUCACCAAGGCGACGAUGCGUAGCCGGCCUGAGAGGGUGAUCGGCCACACUGGGACUGAGACACGGCCCAGACUCCUACGGGAGGCAGCAGUAGGGAAUCUUCCACAAUGGACGAAAGUCUGAUGGAGCAACGCCGCGUGAGCGAUGAAGGCCUUCGGGUCGUAAAGCUCUGUUGUUAGGGAAGAACAAGUACCGGAGUAACUGCCGGUACCUUGACGGUACCUAACCAGAAAGCCACGGCUAACUACGUGCCAGCAGCCGCCGUAA